rnacentral:rRNA from 1 species
CCUACGUGCGGCAGCAGUAGGGAAUAUUGCUCAAUGGGGGAAACCCUGAAGCAGCAACGCCGCGUGGAGGAUGAAGGUUUUCGGAUUGUAAACUCCUUUUGUUAGAGAAGAUAAUGACGGUAUCUUACGAAUAAGCACCGGCUAACUCCGUGCCAGCAGCCGCGGUAAUACGUAGGGUGCAAGCGUUACUCGGAAUCACUGGGCGUAACGAGCGCGUAGGCGGGAUAGCAAGUCAGAUGUGAACUCCUGUGGCUUAACCAUAGAACUGCAUUUGAAACUGUUAUUCUAGAGUAUGGGAGAGGUAGGUGGAAUUCUUGGUGUAGGGGUAAAAUCCGUAGAGAUCAAGAGGAAUACUCAUUGCGAAGGCGACCUGCUAGAACAUAACUGACGCUGAUGCGCGAAAGCGUGGGGAGCAAACAGGAUUAGAUACCCUUGUAGUC